rnacentral:lncRNA from 1 species
AGUUUCGCAAAGAAGAUAACGAUUGUUCAUCCCCGAAAAUCCUAAUAGCAUCAGCAAUCAUCAAGCAUGGGCAUAAUCCAGUGUAAAUCUUUGAUUCUUGCUUCCAAUUUAUGAUUCUCGCGAAUCAUCAUUGCUUCUUCAGUUAUGUUUUGGACUCCACACAAUCAGAACUGCUAUCUCCUAAAAAAUCUUGAAGAAUUGUAUGUACAAAGAGAGAGUUUAAUGGCGGUUACCAAGAAGGCAGUGGUGGUGGCGCCGAUGGUGGUCGAAAUCCUGAAUUCGGGUCAAGCGUGACGGAUAACCUAUAUUCGAGUCACUAAUAAAUGGGCCUAAGAAAUCAACAAAACGGACUGGAUAUGGCAGGGCGCCUACGAUUCUGAUGCUUUUUCUGACCGGAGAAUUAGCAAAACAG